rnacentral:rRNA from 1 species
UCUUGAUCUCAGAUCAGGCAGGAUGACCCGCUGAACUUAAGCAUAUUAGUAAGCGGAGGAAAAGAAACUAACCAGGAUUCCCUNAGUAACGGCGAGUGAAGCGGGAAUAGCCCAAUCUGAAAAGCUAGUCUGCCCAGGAGCAGGUCUCGCAUUGUAGGUUGAUGAAGCGUUUCCUAGUGUUAGACCUUUCAGUUAAAGUUCCUUGGAACAGGACGUCAAAGAGGGUGAUAACCCCGUAAUUAACUGAAUGACACACCAGUCUAAUGCGCCUAUGGAGCGUUUUCUUAGAGUCGGAAUGUUUGGGAUUGCAUUCCAAAGCGGGUGGUAAACUCCAUCUAAGGCUAAAUACUGGCGAGAGACCGAUAGCGAACAAGUACCGUGAGGGAAAGUUGAAAAGCACUCUGGAGAGAGAGUCAAACAGUACGUGAAAUUGCUAGCAGGGAAACGUUGGGCACCAGUACACGGCAAUCAAUGUUAAUGAUCAGCCGGCCUAUUGGCGCGUUGUGGUGCGGCGACUAGUCUCGGGGAUUACCUUUGGUAACCCACGCAUUACAAGUGUGUUAACUGGCCGGUGCACUCUUUAACGGCCGGGUCAACAUCGGUUAACGCCGCCCGACAAGUCUAUAGACAAGGUAGCAUCCGUAAGCCUCGGCUUACUUUUGAACUUAUAGGUCUGUAGUACGAGGAUGGCGUUGACCGAGGAUAGGCGAUUCGUGCGCUUCGGCGCAGGGCGCGCUGGCCGAAUCAAGGCNGCCCGUGGUGCUAAGCAGCAUGCUGAUUAGUAUUCAUUCUAUUACACCUCGGUGUAAUAGCGGCGGUCGUUCGGNUAGAGCAAGCCACUAGCGAAUCAACGAAUGUUGACGAAAUGGUAUUCAACGACCCGUCUUGAAACACGGACCAAGGAGUCUAACAUGUCUGCGAGUGUUUGGGUGGAAAACCCUUACGCGGAAUGAAAGUGAGGAGGCAAGUUUCGCGCUUGUCCACUGGUAGGAAUCGAAGCGUUACGGCGCGACGACGCACUACCGACCGACCUGUUGCCCUCUGUGGCGGUAGGUUUGAGUUGGAGCAGUCCUGUUAGGACCCGAAAGAUGGUGAACUAUGCCUGAGCAGGAUGAAGUCAGAGGAAACUCUGAUGGAGGUCCGUAGCGGUUCUGACGUGCAAAUCGAUCGUCUGACUUGGGUAUAGGGGCGAAAGACUAAUCGA